rnacentral:misc_RNA from 1 species
GAUGAAGAACGCAGCGAAAUGCGAUAAGUAAUGUGAAUUGCAGAAUUCAGUGAAUCAUCGAGUCUUUGAACGCACAUUGCGCCCCCUGGUAUUCCGGGGGGCAUGCCUGUCCGAGCGUCAUUGCCGCCCUCAAGCACGGCUUGUGUGUUGGGCCCCCGCCCCCCGGCUUCGGGGGGCGGGCCCGAAAGGCAGCGGCGGCACCGCGUCCGGUCCUCGAGCGUAUGGGGCUUCGUCACCCGCUCUGUAGGCCCGGCCGGCGCCCGCCGGCGACCCCAAUCAAUCUUUCCAGGUUGACCUCGGAUCAGGUAGGGAUACCCGCUGAACUUAAGCAUAUCAAUAAGCGAGGA